GUGGGGAAUCUUGCGCAAUGGGCGAAAGCCUGACGCAGCCAUGCCGCGUGAAUGAUGAAGGUCUUAGGAUUGUAAAAUUCUUUCACCGGGGACGAUAAUGACGGUACCCGGAGAAGAAGCUCCGGCUAACUUCGUGCCAGCAGCCGCGGUAAUACGAAGGGGGCUAGCGUUGCUCGGAAUUACUGGGCGUAAAGGGCGCGUAGGCGGACAGCUUAGUCAGAGGUGAAAGCCCAGGGCUCAACCUUGGAAUUGCCGUUGAUACUGGCUGUCUUGAGUUUGGGAGAGGUGAGGGGAACUCCGAGUGUAGAGGUGAAAUUCGUAGAUAUUCGGAAGAACACCAGUGGCGAAGGCGACUCACUGGCCCAAUACUGACGCUGAGGCGCGAAAGCGUGGGGAGCAAACAGGAUUAGAAACCCGGGUAGUCC
rnacentral:rRNA from 1 species